AGUGAACGCUGGCGGUAGGCCUAACACAUGCAAGUCGAACGGCAGCACAGUAAGAGCUUGCUCUUACGGGUGGCGAGUGGCGGACGGGUGAGGAAUACAUCGGAAUCUACUUUUUCGUGGGGGAUAACGUAGGGAAACUUACGCUAAUACCGCAUACGACCUACGGGUGAAAGCAGGGGAUCUUCGGACCUUGCGCGAUUGAAUGAGCCGAUGUCGGAUUAGCUAGUUGGCGGGGUAAAGGCCCACCAAGGCGACGAUCCGUAGCUGGUCUGAGAGGAUGAACAGCCACACUGGAACUGAGACACGGUCCAGACUCCUACGGGAGGCAGCAGGGGGGAAUUUUGGACAAUGGGGGCAAGCCUUAUCCAGCCAUACCGGGUGGGUGAAGAAGGCCUUCGGGUUGUAAAGCCCUUUUGUUGGGAAAAAAAAGCAGCAGGUUAAUACCCCGCUGUUCUGACGGUACCCAAAGAAUAAGCACCGGCUAACUUCGG
rnacentral:rRNA from 1 species